AUCAGGGGUAAACCUGUGGAACUCGAACGAGCGAACGGGGAGACUCAUCGUUUUUUCCGGGGGUCCGCGGCGUGCGAUUACUUCGUGGAUUCGUCUGCGAGGGGUCGCGUGUCGUCGUGGCUCUCGGAGGGCGUGCACUUCUCCCUUAGUAAAACACUGCGACCCGUCGAURGUCGGUCGAACGCGCCUGCGGUUGUCCAGUCUUCUCCGGAAGAAUGAGCCGCGGCGUCGUGGCUGGCCUUCGACGGUAACGAACGAGGUUCGCGUCCGCCCUUUGGCGUUCGCGGUGCGGCGGCGUCGCUCUCUUCAGGUCUUCUUCGCGAAAGCGUCGCAAGUAUCUGUCGCGGCGGCGGCGCGUCUGUCGCAUCGCUCGAACGGGACGCGUCCCGGUCUGCGGUGGUUUUGUUUCGGGCACUCACAGGACCC
rnacentral:rRNA from 1 species